ACAUGCCUACAAUAUAGUGUUAAUGCACCAGAUCCCAUUAUAACUCCGCAUUUAAGCACACUUAGGCUAGAGUAGUACUGGGAUGGGUGACUGCCUCAGAAUUCCUAGUGUUUUACAUGCC
rnacentral:rRNA from 1 species